rnacentral:rRNA from 1 species
GACGAACGCUGGCAGCGUGCUUAACACAUGCAAGUCGAGCGGAAAGGCCCUUCGGGGUACUCGAGCGGCGAACGGGUGAGUAACACGUGAGUAACCUGCCCCAGACUUUGGGAUAACCCUCGGAAACGGGGGCUAAUACCGGAUACGACACAGCUUCGCAUGGGGUCUGUGUGGAAAGUUUUUCGGUUUGGGAUGGGCUCGCGGCCUAUCAGCUUGUUGGUGGGGUGAUGGCCUACCAAGGCGACGACGGGUAGCCGGCCUGAGAGGGCGACCGGCCACACUGGGACUGAGACACGGCCCAGACUCCUACGGGAGGCAGCAGUGGGGAAUAUUGCACAAUGGGCGGAAGCCUGAUGCAGCGACGCCGCGUGAGGGAUGACGGCCUUCGGGUUGUAAACCUCUUUCAGCAGGGACGAAGCGUAAGUGACGGUACCUGCAGAAGAAGCGCCGGCCAACUACGUG